ensembl:lncRNA
CACCCACCCACCAGUGAGCAGGUCCCACCUCUGAUGCAGGUCAAGAAAGUGUCUUCAUUGUUUGUCCUGACCUAGAAGCUUCUCUCUCUCUAAUUUCAGAGUCCUUAGCCCUGUUCCCAAGACUUCAAUGACCAAACUGCCAAAGGGCCAAGGAGUAUCUUGUAGCUUUGCCCGGGGGUAGGAGGAGUGCCCCCACAUGGUGUCACAACAGUGCCUGAGUGACUUGGGCAGAAUCCAGGGACCAAGGAGUCUGUUUCCACAGCACAGCUUCUCCUUUUCUAGAAGAACAGCAGGAACCUUUCCAGUCAUAGCCAGGAGGCAAUCAGAGCUAACAGUGUCCUGGGGCAACCAGGAGGCAGUGCCAGAUGCCUGGAACCCAGAGGAGUGUCAGCUUCUACUGAAAAGGAACUGUACCAUCUUCACUAUUGACUUUUAUGAGACUGGCAGACAGGAGCAGCAAUGGCCUUGCAGAUGGAGAUCCAAGCCCCAGUGGGAUGCGGAAGCUGAGCUGCCAUGGAUGCUCUGACCACAGGUUCAUCAUCUCUGGACCAGAAGCUUACACGAGUCCAGUGUCCCUCUGGUGGGUGCAUCUUUUGGGUACAGUAGUAUCCAAACUACAGCAUUAGGAAGGAUGAAGAUCAUGUUGUCAGCCAUAGCACCUGUGAAGAAGGCUUCAAGGACGUGCAGAACUGAGCCCCUAGAGUGUUCAGCUUCUUACAAUAUCCUUGAACCACCACGAAGGCCAUGGCAAACACAAUGCUUGGUGACACACACAAAGCUAGAGUGGCAAGGAUGCUCCCUGAAGAAAGAAGAAGCUGGGAGGGGUAUGCUUCCUAAGGCUCAUUUCCGUGUGGAAACAGGUAUAGGAAGAGAACAUUCCUGACUAAAGUGGCUCACUCAUACAGAGAGUCUGGUCUGAGUGCUUAUGCCAAUUACCUUCUGUCUGCAUAGCUUCCUGCUUGCCAAAGACCUUCCACUGAACACAGAGGGGAGCACCAGGCAGGGGACAUGCUGAAUGGAUGAAUUUACUCUGCCACACUGAGACUGGUGAAGAAGGGAAGGACUGGAAACUCAAGUGAAGGUGUUGUCAGAGGACUCUUGUUGUUCACCACUGUGUGCACCAGGCUAGCUGACUGUGAGCUUCCGAGUCUGCUAGACAGGAAACGGAACUGGACUGUGUAGGCCGAGUGUAUGGAUAAUAAGGCCCAUCAGGGCUUCUAAAUUCUAAUUUGCAAGGACUUAAAAAACAGGACUCCUGUGCAAAUACACAGUGAGUGUGAAAGCAUUUGCUCGGCUCCUGCAUUGACGAGUCAGCCACUCAGAGGCUGUAAAUGGACUAGUGCUGUGAGUGACUUGAAGAAGGAUAUUUAUAUGGGAGCCUGAAGCUCUUGUUUUGCUUUUCGAUGAAAAGCUUGUCAACUUUCAACUGAUGAGGAGGAGCACAAAUUGGGAAGUCUUUGAAGGAAGGAGAAACACAGGUUGAGUUCCUGGCUGCCCGUUGAGUGGAUCAGGACAGUUAGCAGCUUUUGAACUGAGUGAUGGCCUUGAGACUCUCUUCUCACUUACUUGUAACCUCUUCUGUGCCAAGUGAAGUGUGGUGAUGGGCAGAAUGCUCUCACACUGUAUAACUCGGGUUUACUGAUGCUACCACCGCCUUUGCCGGAUGUUAAAGGUAUAUUAAUUGAUUAUUAACGAUGAAUUCCCCCGUUUGUUUUAGUUCGAUUACUAUCACCUGAGAUAAGAACGGUCUCUAAGGAUCAAGGGUUUACUUGAAGUAGUUACUCACUGGAGGGUAGGCUCCCAGCACAAAGCACAACUGUACCCCACAGGGCUCCCAUGGAACCACUGGCUAAGUUUCCUAACCUCUCCGCAGCUUUAAGUACAGACCCAGCAGUCUUUAUUUUGCUUUGCCUAGCUCUUCCUUCCUUCCUUCCUUUACCUUGGCCCUUGAGUUAGGGUUUGGCCUGGUGGAUCAGACACAGAUCACACCUGAAGUACAAGACGAAUGUUCUAUUGCCUUUUGGUGAUUAAACCAGUCAUGUUAUUGUUGGCAGCCUAGCCCAGAGGUAAGGCAGAGAAAAGCAAGAGGAACAGGAAAUCAUUCUGUAAAAUAUUUACAGGAAAACGUUGGCUUGCUUGAAGUGAUUCACUGGCCUGCUUUCCCUCUGUCUUUUUGCCUUCUCUAAUAACUUCCCUCUCGCUGGCUCCCUGUUACACAAGUUUUAGUCUUAAAAGGAGUACUGGGAAGUAAAAUUUUCUUAAUCUGAAGAUAUGAUGCCAUGUUUUGAGUCACACACACACAAAAAACCCCACCAUUUUAAUUAUUAGAAAUAUUCGGUUUUGCUACAAUCAGUCACACGUGUCCCCAACAGCUCCACUCUGUUCCAGCACUAUGCCUUCCAGCUCCAUCUCAUCUGAGGAGCCUGGAUUCUAUGGUCCUGUCCCACAGCUGCUUUGAAAUCUAGAUGAGCAGGUAGUUCUUUAUCCCUAGGGCGGGCUCAAAAUAGUUGAUCCAGGCACUUCAGAAUGUGUGUCCUUCUUAAAUCCCAAGUAAGUGGAAAAAAAAAAAAAAGCCCGCUCCAGAGUACACAGAGCAAAGGACUCCAGGCUGAGCUACUACAGCUGUGCUAGCCCCCUUUGUCAGCUUCACCAUGGAGACCACUAGCCUUCUUUGAAGACCCUUAGAGCAGCAGUGCCUAGGGAAUGUAUAGAGUGACAUUGUUCCUUUCAGAACACCCUCACUCAUGGUAGAAAUGGGCAGGUUAACCAGGAUGAUUAUUCACAAGUAUGUUUUUAGUUUUAGUGAUUGCAAUAUUUAAAACCAAGGAGAGGACUAUUGAAUAGUGAUUUUUUAUAAAUGUGUUCUGGAAAAACUAUAUAAUACUUUCUUGCUUUUGUAGUUCAUGCUGACCUUGAGUAGCCUUGUCUUCUUGGUGCUUACACUUAUGGACAUAUACCACUGUGUCUGCAUGCUGCCUCCUCUCUUCGUAUGGUACUAGAACCUGAGCUUCACACGUCAAGCACAUGUUGUUCUAUUGAGUUAUCAUACCCCCCCAUCACCCAGUGCUUCAUUUAUAAAACCAUAUGACCCUUAUUACAUUUUAAAACUUUAAAUUAUGUGGAUCGGUGUGUAUGUGUACCUGAGUGCAGUUACCAGAGGAGACCAGAAGGUGGCGAUAUAGGAGACCUAGAGCUGGGGUUACAAGCUGUUGUGAGGCACCUACAUGCUACUGAGAACUAAAUUUGUGUCCUCUGCAAGAGCAGUAGGAAAUUGUAACUGCUGAGCUGUCUCUUUGGCUUAAGGCUACCCAGGAUAUAUCUUACUGUUGGGUUUUGUGCUUAUUCAUUUGUUCAUGUUAAACAUAGGAAAUGGUUCAGGCAAAAUAGGGGUUAGGAAAGAAUAUGAAAAUUUAAGGAACAGUUGAAGCAUUGUGUCCUAAGCAAUAUGAAGGUAGAUGGGCAGUAGCCACUUCCUCUGGUUUGAACCAGCCCUUCCUGCAAGGAGUAGGGACGUUGGUAAGAUUCAGAAAUCCAAAGAACAGGACGCUCAGCAAAGCUCAGAAAGUUGAAAGACUCACAAGGCCCCAGGGUAGCAUUACACAAUUGCUCCAGUCUUCCGUGGAGCAGCUUGCAAGCUGUGUAUCGAGCUCCAGCAACCAGCCUUUUGUUUUUGUUUUUUCCAGACAACAGGGCUUCUCUGUGUAGUUCUGGCUAUCCCUAAACUCAUUCUGUAGACCAGGCUGGCCUCAAACUUUUGCCUCUGCCUCCCAAGUGCUGGGACUAAAGGCUUGCACCACCACCUAGCUACAAUGUAGCUCUUUCAUGAACUUUCACCCCUGGCGGGAUAGACUUUUCCAUUGAUGUAGCCACCUUUGUGUUAAUGGUACUCUUGGAAGGAGCCCCUUACUCACAUUCCUAUACAUAAUUCCCCAAAACUAUUAGUUCGCCAAGUUAGAAGUUGUGUAGGUCACUUGCUGUAUUACUGACUCAUUAAAUGGAAAUGGCGCACAAAAAAAAAUGCAUCUGUGGUUUAGUGUCAAUGGAUGCACUGAAUAGCCAUUUGCUCUCUCCCCAGGGGGGGGAAAAAUCACACAACAAUGGACAUCCAUUUCAAUUCAAUAUGGCAC